UACGAAGGGUGCAAGCGUUACUCGGAAUUACUGGGCGUAAAGCGUGCGUAGGUGGUUUGUUAAGUCUGAUGUGAAAGCCCUGGGCUCAACCUGGGAACUGCAUUGGAUACUGGCUUACUAGAGUGCGGUAGAGGGGUGUGGAAUUCCCGGUGUAGCAGUGAAAUGCGUAGAUAUCGGGAGGAACAUCUGUGGCGAAGGCGGUGCUCUGGGCCGGAACUGACGCUGAGGAGCGAAAGCGUGGGGAGCAAACAGG
rnacentral:rRNA from 1 species